rnacentral:rRNA from 1 species
ACCGGCGCACGGGUGCGUAACGCGUAUGCAAUCUACCUUGUACAGGGGAAUAGCCCAGAGAAAUUUGGAUUAAUGCCCCAUAGUAUAUAACCUUCGCAUGUUGGUUAUAUUAAAGUUCCAACGGUACAAGAUGAGCAUGCGUCCCAUUAGUUAGUUGGUAAGGUAACGGCUUACCAAGACGAUGAUGGGUAGGGGUCCUGAGAGGGAGAUCCCCCACACUGGUACUGAGACACGGACCAGACUCCUACGGGAGGCAGCAGUGAGGAAUAUUGGUCAAUGGUCGCAAGACUGAACCAGCCAUGCCGCGUGCAGGAAGACGGUCCUAUGGAUUGUAAACUGCUUUUAUACAGGAAGAAACCCUCCCACGUGUGGGAGCUUGACGGUACUGUAGGAAUAAGGAUCGGCUAACUCCGUGCCAGCAGCCGCGGUAAUACGGAGGAUCCAAGCGUUAUCCGGAAUCAUUGGGUUUAAAGGGUCCGUAGGCGGUCUUAUAAGUCAGUGGUGAAAGCCCAUCGCUCAACGAUGGAACUGCCAUUGAUACUGUAGGACUUGAAUGCUUAGGAAGUAACUAGAAUAUGUAGUGUAGCGGUGAAAUGCUUAGAUAUUACAUGGAAUACCAAUUGCGAAGGCAGGUUACUACUAAGUGAUUGACGCUGAUGGACGAAAGCGUGGGGAGCGAACAGGAUUAGAUACCCUGGUA